GCACCCUUGGUGUAUGGAAACACACAUCUUUGAAUUGAUAUAUUCUUGUAUCUGGUUAAUCAAGAUGAGUCCGGGGUUCGAAUCCUCGAGGGUGCA